rnacentral:rRNA from 1 species
UUGGUCAAUGGACGCAAGUCUGAACCAGCCAUGCCGCGUGAAGGAUGAAGGUCCUCUGGAUUGUAAACUUCUUUUAUCUGGGACGAAAACGGGAUUUUUAUCUCAAUUGACGGUACCAGAGGAAUAAGCACCGGCUAACUCCGUGCCAGCAGCCGCGGUAAUACGGAGGGUGCGAGCGUUAUCCGGAUUUACUGGGUUUAAAGGGUGCGUAGGUUGGCUUAUAAGUCAGUGGUGAAAUCUCCGAGCUUAACUUGGAAACUGCCGUUGAUACUAUAGGUCUUGAAUUAUCUGGAGGUAAGCGGAAUAUGUCAUGUAGCGGUGAAAUGCUUAGAUAUGACAUAGAACACCAAUUGCGAAGGCAGCUUACUACAUAUAAAUUGACGCUGAGGCACGAAAGCGUGGGGAUCAAACA